GAUAAGUUUGGGUAAUCUUCUCAAAGCCAGUCGUGCUGGGGAUAGACCAUUGUAAUUAUUGGUCUUCAACGAGGAAUUCCUAGUAAACGCAAGUCAUCAACUUGCAUUGAUUACGUCCCUGCCCUUUGUACACACCG
rnacentral:rRNA from 1 species